CCUUCAUAAUUAAAUUGUGAACCGUGAACCACCCAGAGGGUGCUUUCAGCGCUAUGGUGUCAUAUAUAAGCAGCCCUUUUCCCCCCUUUCUUUCCUGUGUUCCCACUGCAGGCUCAUUCCUUUGAGAUUCGUACGGCUGGCCAUUCGUGACCGAGAGAAGCAGAUCAUUGAAAUGAUCCUGAUCAGUGGGCAGUCUUAUUACCUUCUACUCCACCCUUCCACCAAGGAGAAAGACAACCAGUUCCGGUGCUGGUGCAAACUCAUCCACCUUCUCCAUCACCCACCAGCACGCUACUUCAGGCCCAAACCCAUCUCCUUUACUGGUAUAGACCACCAGAGCAUUCCUGUUAUACCAAGGGACGAGGAAGCCGUGCAGGAGGAAAAGGAAGAAAACAAUCAGGAGCAGAAGGAGAAGGGACAGAUUUCAGCCAAAACACCUCAUCAGAGCGGGUUUGACAUCGAGGAAGAAUACACUGCCGAUGAGCGCCACAUUCUGGAGAUAGGAGACGUCAGGACAUUUAGUGAGUGGUUCCUGUACGAAAAUGCUGACAGCUUUGAGACCUACGCAGGGAGCAAGACCUCAGUCAAGCCGAUCAGGACAUUCAGUUCAGCACCUGUUCUAUCAGAACUAACAUUUUCCAACACAAGCAUGAACACAAGCAGGUCCUCGGGCCAACCACCAGCGCCUCCUGUGUUUCCAGUUCCAAAGAAAGGCGAAAACGGAAGCCUUAACAUUGUCACCAUCUAUUCCGCCAUCUCCAAAAUUCUGGGGGAGAAAAAUGGAGAGAGAGCAGACACUGAGCCCUGUCAGAGAGGUGUCUUGGAACAGGAGGAGCUGAGAGGGCAAUAGAAGCCCCAGGUAGGCAAAGCUUUGUCUUGAGCUUCCUCUUGAAGGCUGGGAGGGAGGGGGGCUGGCGAAGCUCUUAACGGGAGCCCAGUCAAGGAUGGUGCCACAAC
rnacentral:lncRNA from 1 species